CAGGAGAUGCAGUAUCAGCGACUAAUGUGGAAGGAGGACAACUAAAACAGAUACAUGCAUGAGUUUUUAGCUCUCCAAGCCAUCACUUUAACAAUGCACAUAUACAAAAAUGAUACAAUUUCUAACUUUUAAGAGCAAAGGGUCCUUUCAUUUAAUGGUCCCAGGAACCUUCAGUAGUUUCAUCAAUAACCUGCUACCAACAGACAAAGCGUGGCAUAUAUUUAAUGUGCCUAUUGUUUACGUCGACAAUUAGCACAAAAUGAGUUCUAAAUGAGCAUCGACAGAACCAAAAAAAAAAAAAGCACUGCAUCCUAGACUGCUCUACAAAAGACAUCAGCUUCUAAGAGCUAACGCUUUUUAGUCAGUUUCACGGUGAGAUGCACACACAUACCACAGGACUCCCAAGUCAUAUGAAACAACAAGCAAUAAGCACAAUCGUACAAUAGAUCAUUUGAAGCUUAUCUCCAUUAGCACCGUAAACAAAAUCUUACUACAUAUAAAACCCGAGAGGGGUUGUGGUGUUCACAUUUCUGUCAACUUAUUGGAUUAUCUUUUUUGUCUUAUUACAAAGGGUAAACAGUACAACCUUUUACCAACCAAAAAAAAAAAAAAUGUUUAUCAAGAACUACCAACCUAUACUUUACCCACAUCCAUGUUUCCAUUCCAAACAUGUAUGUUCACACUGCUCCAUCCAAAAUAUGUACAUCUAAUCAUUCACCAUACUUCUGCAGUACUCUUAACACUACCACAGAAACUACCGAACAAAAGGAAAUACCAUAUUUGUAACUUCCAAUAACUUCUUGUCAUCCUUUUACUUUCAUCUUCUCUUUUGUUUCUUUUUUCUCAAUCCAAUUAUCUAAAUCAUGCCUAUACCACUAGUUAGAAAUAAUUAUUCAUGGCCCAAAAUUGCAGUUUGAAGAAGUCAGAGCAGCUGUUCUCUACUUUUCUUCUUAUUCACCAUUUGUUGAUGGAAUUUGUGUCUACACGGGUAUCAGAUAUAUCAUGCCCACCAAUACCAUCAUCUUCUCAUAUGGCCCUCACAGCUAAGAUAGAAGCAUGCACACAGAAAAUAGAUGGAGAUAUAAAAGGUUGAGGGCCAAAUGUCAAUUGAAAAAGAACGUAAACAGGAAGGGUAAACAGAAAGCCAUACAUUGUUGAAGGCCCAAAAAAAAAAAAAAAGACUUCAAGUAAGCAUCAGCCUAUUUAAAUUUGCUGAAUUUUCACACAGUUUCCUUGCAUCUCAGCCUACCCUCAAGACUUGCAUGUAAUAUUGACAAGUUGGACUGCGUUGAUCUAUAUAAAACUUUAAACUAUGGCCAAGUUGGGGAUUGAAAAACUUCUCAAAUGGGCAAAGCAGUUUUAGCCCUCUUAAAACGAUUAUGCACAACUAAGAUUUCUUUAUAACCUUAGUUGACCAUGACAAAAAAUCAACUACUGCACAUCAGAGAAUCAGAAGAAACUGUAGGUAUUACCUUAAUGAUGUAAUAGUAGAACACUGCAAUUGCUCAUCAA